rnacentral:rRNA from 1 species
ACAGGUGGUGCAUGGUUGUCGUCAGCUCGUGUCGUGAGAUGUUGGGUUAAGUCCCGCAACGAGCGCAACCCCUGUGGUUAGUUGCCAUCAUUUAGUUGGGCACUCUAAGCAGACUGCCGUGGAUAACACGGAGGAAGGUGGGGAUGACGUCAAAUCAUCAUGCCCCUUAUGACCUGGGCUACACACGUGCUACAAUGGUCUGAACAGAGGGCUGCGAAACCGCAAGGUGAAGCCAAUCCCUUAAAACAGAUCUCAGUUCGGAUUGCAGGCUGAAACUCGCCUGCAUGAAGUUGGAGUUGCUAGUAAUCGCGGAUCAGAAUGCCGCGGUGAAUGCGUUCCCGGGUCUUGUACACACCGCCCGUCACACCACGAGAGUUGGCAACACCCGAAGUCAGCGAGACAACCGUAAGGAGUCAGCUGCCGAAGGUGGGGUCGGUAAUUGGGGUGAAGUCGUAACAAGGUAGCCGUAUCGGAAGGUGC